GCUAGGACCCAAUCGCACGUGCUGGGAGGGGUGGCGGCCGAGCGGUCGGGGAGCAGCGCGUUGGGGCGUGUGGGACCGUGGCUUGGAGCACGGGAGGGCUGCGAGCCUACUCAGGCUGCUUUUCUUCUUCCAUCACCUUCUCCUUUCGCUGUGCACGGGCCACACGGUGGAACUGCAGCGGUGAAAACGGCUGAAGUCGGGGCGCUGUAACCUCCUGGCGACCCUGAGGAGCAGCAGCGGAAACACAAGUAAGAAUGGAGAGUGCUCUUCUCCCCAGAAGCUAACAAAAGGUCAAGUCUUUCUCUGUGAAAUGGCUGUAGAAUGUAAACUGAGGCUCCUGGCAUUCCCCUACUGGCUGAGUUCAAGAACCACCCACUCCGAGUUGUCUUCCUGGAUUUUCUCAGCCCAAAGUAAUCCUUUUUCUGAGAUACAAAAGAGGUUCAACAGUGAGUAUUGUAGAUGCUGAGCUUCAUCUGUGAACAAAAUCUAAUGAGUCUCUGACCUCAUGGAACUCAUGAGGUGGAAUCAGGAUCCCUGAAGACUUCCUUAUGGAUUUUGUCUCUGGGAACACGCCACCAAGCUCCUUUUGAAAUCUCCAUGGAAUUCUCCAGGCAAGAAUGCUGGAGUGGGUUGCCAUUUCCUUCUCCAGGGGAGCUUCCUGACCUAGGGAUCGAACCCAAGACUCCUGCAUUGGCAGACUGAUUAUCACUGAGCCACCUGGGAAGCGCCAUACACUACCAUAUAUAAAAUAGAUAACUAAUAAGAACCUACACAAUAAGGAACUCUACACAAUACUCUGUAGUGGCCUAAAUGGGAAAAGAAUCUAAAAAAGAGUGGAUAUAUAUCUAUGUAUAAUUGAUUCACUUGCUGUACACCUGAAACUAACACAUUAUUGUAAAUCAACUAUACUCCAAUAAAAAUU